CCUACGGGAGGCAGCAGUGAGGAAUAUUGGUCAAUGGACGCAAGUCUGAACCAGCCACGUCGCGUGAAGGAAGACUGCUCUAUGAGUUGUAAACUGCUUUUGUAUGGUGAUAAACGGUUACACGUGUAUGUUUUUGUAUGUAUCCUCUGAAUAAGGAUCGGCUAACUCCGUGCCAGCAGCCGCGGUAAUACGGAGGAUUCAAGCGUUAUCCGGAUUUAUUGGGUGUAAAGGGUGCGUAGAUGGACUGAUAAGUUAGAGGUGAAAGUUUGAGGCUCAACUGCGGAAUUGCCUCUGAUACUGGUCGGCUAGAGAAUAGUUGAGGUAGGCGGAAUGUAUGGUGUAGCGGUGAAAUGCUUAGAGAUCAUACAGAACACCGAUUGCGAAGGCAGCUUACCAAGCUACUUCGGACGUUGAGGCACGAAAGCGUGGGGAGCAAACAGGAGUAGAUACCCGUGUAGUC
rnacentral:rRNA from 1 species